UUGCAGGGAAUAGCAAGACAAGAUGAAGAUUCUAGUGUUAAGUGUGACCAUCUUGAAUUUUGUGACUUGCUUCCCGUAUAAUGGGAAUCAGGAAACACACAGUCAGACAAAUUAUUUGUCUGCCAAACCACCUUUGUCUGCAUCAGAGAGCCACAGAGCAAAUCAACUCUCAUCCAUCCUCAGAGCAAAAAAUAAUUCUGCACCUACAGAUGAUUCAAAUAGUUACUCUGAGUCUACCGAUACAGUAACAAGGCACUCUGGAUCUCUUUCAGAGAGAAACCACUCAGAGACUCUUCAAGCUAGUAUGUAUAACUUUCCCCCAUUUGGAAACGAUGUACCAAGUAACCCUUCAGCUAACCAGACUUCAGCUAGCUUUGCUUAUGUUGAGGGUCCAGAAGACAACUCUACUCAGGCAGAGUCUCCAAUGAGCAAUGUUUCACCUUCAUCUGCUGCUAUGCAGGAUAUUUCUGCUGUCAGUAUCAUAAUUUCCAGAUUUGUGCCCAAUUCUGCAAUAACACGGAGGAUGAUGGCUGUUUCUGAGGAAAACAGCAUCUCAGCACCUGUAUCCAUAACCACCCACCAGUAUAAGUCUGAUUCCAUUGCUAUUCCCCACUAUCAGGGAAACACCAAAGCAACCCAGAGUCUUGAACCCUUCUUGCUAUCCACUGGAAGAUCUAAGCCAUUCUUUGCUCCUAAUCAUGCUGCAUACAUACAAAACACUAAGAAUGAGUUUAGUGCCUCUGCAGACGAGAGAAACACUGCCAUAUCAAAUUCAAACAACCUCCUUGGAACUUAUACCACUACUGGUGAGGAAGAAGCAAGACUAGAGAAUAUAUUCUUCACUGAUACUACCACUCUUACGAAAGAAGGCAAUACAGCUACAAUUGAUGCCACAGACAUUCUAGAAGAUUAUACAACUCUGCUUGAUGUUCCUGACAUGGAGGAUGAAAAUGUAAUUAUAAGUGAUACUACUUACCUGGAAAGAUAUGGCAAAACUAUGAGCAACUCUCCAGAUGCUCCACAGAAAGACAAUUCUGUUGUAAUUAAUGCCACAGACAAAAAGAAUCACCACAGAACUACAGUUAAUACUCAAAUGCGUAGCGUUUCCUCUGCAAAAAAUACCAAUGACUUUGAAUCUUAUCCUAUUCUGCGUACUUAUAACAAGGCUGAUAUCAAAUCUAGCAUGACCAACACUGAUGCUGAUGAAGCCACUUCCAAUAUCAAUCCCAUUAAUACUAAAAAUUCUUUUCUUAAUUAUAGAAUGUAUAAGAAAAACAAUAAUGCUAUUAGUAAUUUCAAUGAUACAAAGACAAUGUUAGAUGUAGCUAAAAAUACGAUGCAUGCAGGGGACUUAACUUUUUCCAAAACAAAUGGCAUCACUUCUACAAAGCAUUAUGCUAACCCUAACUCCAUAGCACCAACAACUAACAUUAAUUUUAAAACAGCUCGGCCUUCAAAGGAAAAUACAAUAAUAGAUGGCAGACAUACUGUACAGAUGGAAAACAGCAUGACACCUAACAAUAACAAUAUUGCUAAAGCAACUGGAUCUAAACUUGAUGACCCAGUAAUUGAGUUCCAUUCUAAUAUUCCUGCCAGUGUACAUCUUAAACUUGAUAGGAAUUAUUUUAAGUCUGUGAGCAAUGAUGAAAUUGAGGAAGUCAUUCCUGUGGUCCAACAGACUACAAAUAUGGACCAAGAUGAUGUAGUUACAACGGAAGUCAUCUUUCUUCAUCCAGACAUUUCCACAAGAGAAAUUAGAAGAAAAGUCUACUCUCUUAACCCUGGUGCAGAUUAUGGCCAAAUAGCCAGAAACAAAAUCAUCCUCCUUCCUGACAUCCCUGAUAUGUUCAACUCCCUAUUCAAAAAUAAAAUAAGGCUCUUUACAAUAGACAGCAAAAACCUCAUUAAAAAUAGAGGUGACCAUAGAACCCCCACCACAAUUUCUGCAAAUAACACCAGAGCCAAAAUGGAUGUUGAAAGAACUAGUGUGCUUAAAACAGCCAAUUUCCAGAGCAAUAUCACUCCUAUCAUCACUCCCCCUGGAACUGUUGGAACCGUCUAUUUUAGUGAAGACCGUGUAGCUGACAUGACCACCACCUCAGCUUCAAAGCUCAGUUUCACUCCUUCAGAUAAAUCUACUGACUCUGUGGAUGAAACCAUUAGCCUCUCUACUAAUAAUAACAAUGCCAGUGGUGGUACAGGUCCCAACCCUGAAACAGACUUUCCUAUUAACAAAGGAGACACUUUUCUGUCAGUAGCUGAAUCAUCCAUCCUAAGGCCCAAAGCCCAAAAUAAUCAAGAUCAAAACUCCCUGCUAACUAAACAUGAUUCCUUGACUGAUGCUUGGAUAUCAGAUUCUGUGGCUAAAAAUUCUCAUCUCACUAAUGAUGCCAUUAUACGAAAAUGGAAAAUUAAAAAAGUAUCAGUAGAUCCUUUGAACAUUCCAUUGGAGUCUACUUUCCUUACAGCUGAUUUCACCUUUCCCACCGACGAAUACAGUACAGGUAAGGGGCCCACAGAUAUGACUGACAAGUCUAAACUGAUGAUUAAUAAGGCCACCAUACCAGAAGGAAGGUCCACUGUAGCCCUUAACUCCUUGCCUGCAAAAACAGCUGGUAUUCAUACACAAAAACAAAGAUUUAGAAGUUUGAUAGACAAAGAAAGGCUUAAUGAAGAAGAAUUAACUCCCUAUAUGGAAGUAAAAUCUGCAGUGGGAGAAGAUGGUAUUUUUCAGAUAGAAGAUCUUUUACCUGAACAUAAUUCCAAGUACUCUGAAUCAGGAAGCAGUGACUUUGAAAGGAAUGGAUUUGUGGCUGUGCAUAGCACAAAACCUCUUUCCAAAUUAAGUAGUAAUAUACUUACCACUGAAGUAACAGUAAGUGACAGAGACCUUACCACUCCUGAAGAAGAAAAUGUUGAUGUCCUAUAUGUCACUAAACCUGCAAAUGGCAAAACACAUUUUAAGACUAUAGUCACCAAAGCAACAGUUAAUGGUUUGAGCAAAAGUGCAUCUGUGAAACAGAAUGUGGAAGCAGCAGAAGGUCCUGAAUUCCUUCCACGUAGCAAUUCUAUCCCCCAAAGUGGAAAGGAUCACCGCAUACUCUCUAAUUUAUACUACAGUGUAAUCACUGAUAAUCCACUUACUAUCAACAAAGAGAACCCAAAUGUUGCUCGGAACACUAUGCAAUAUAAACCAUUACUCUUCGCAAUGGAUAAUGCAGACCUUACUGAUUAUACAGAUGACUCUCAAACCCCUGCUGCCACCCCAUCAAGCAAUGCUAAAAGACUGAUCAAUAAAGGCAAAAGGGCUGGGACAGAAAUAACAACUAUCCCUCUUGGCCAUCCUACUCUAGUUGAUGAUAUUUCCAAUGAGGAUAAAAAUACUGAUGCUGUAACAGACUUGGCUUCAAUAGCUCUCAUCUCGCCAUUAAGGAAAGGCAUUCUGCCCAUGAAUGAAGCUAAUACUCGUAACAAUAAACCUAAGAAACUAGGAACUGACUUUACCAUGUCCAGAGGAGAUCCCAAGGUGUCUACAGAUGAUGGCACUCUAUUAGCAGCUUAUUCCUCUGCUUUUAUGCCAUCUGUUGACCCUUACAGUCAUCCUCAAGCAACAAAUCCUAUAAAAAAGAUCUCUUUGGCAGAUAUUAUAAUACCAAAAAAUUUUCAAAAUAAGUCUACCCCAGCAGCUUUGACAGUGGCUGUCACUGCCACUUCUCAAGGAGAUGCUGACACCAUGCUUUACAGUGCACAAUAUGAAUCUAAGCACCCUUUUAAGGAAAAUAUAACAGUGAACUCUGAAGCAUAUCCUCAAAAAGACAUAGGCAUUAUGGCAAAGGAAGAAGGUGGACUUGAAGAAAAUGUGAGGGAUAAUGUUUAUGUUACACCUAUUGCAGGUGAUAAUGUUCCUAAAGACAACAACUUGACAGCUAAACAUUCUCUUCACUCUGGUGUAUAUCAUUCCACCAGAUCCAAAGGAACAACUAAAAUCACAGCAGACCAACUUGAAUUUGAGAAUCCUGCAUCAUUUUAUAAGACUGAAGUCUCAAAACCUCUACUUAGAAAAUUUGCUCCAGAGUUCCAAAGAAAAGUGAUUGUGAGAAACAGUAAUAGUGAUGCUGAACAUGACACACCCUUUGGUGGUGAUAGUCUUUAUCCGAUGAUGAAAGAAAAUGUCCCAAAAGGCUAUAUAUUUUCCCCUGAAAGAAGAUCUACUUUUAUAACAUCAGAUUUUAGAAUUCCAAUGAAAGAUAAUACAAACCCUGUUCUGGAAGGCACUGUAUUAUUAGGUAAAGGAAUUUCUCACACAAAUUAUGCAUCCUAUACUGAUGAACAAAGUGAUCCUGGAACAGAAAAAGACCAAACUGGUACAGAUAGCACAAAAAAUUCUCACACAGGCAUUAUACCUGUGACCUUCUCCAUUCCUAUUCCCUCUGAAGACAUAAAUGUGAAAAAUUAUUACCAUAUAUCUGGAACAGGUACUCCUGUAUCCCUAGGAUAUGCAAAUACAUUAAGAGAUGAUUCCUCUAUUCUUAGGCCUGAAACUACUCUGGCAAAGGAAAAUAAUCUAGAUGCUAUGGACCUGAUCAUCAUUGAACCUGAUAAAAGUGAUUCAGAGUAUAUUUCAAAUAAGCAUUCCCUUGAACUAGAGAAGGAAGAAAAGAGUUUUAUUCAAAAACCUAUUUCAUUUAUACACAGACCAAAUGGACUCGAAUUUCAUACAACCUACCCUAAAGCUGCAGCCUCAAAGAGUCUUCUGUAUAGAAUAACUCACCCUGAGUUUGAAACUAAAGAAAAAUAUCAAACUAUUAUUCUCAAAGAAGAAAAUUCUGACUCUGAUAUUGUUGCCACUUUUUUCAAAGAUUAUACCAAAAACUUCAACACUCAACAUCUGGAAAACAUGGCACCCUCCCUAAUGGAUGCUACUGAGACUUUUUCCUCUGAGUUUCUAGAAAGAUCAUCUAUGCAAGAGGAAACUAUAAGUGAAGAUGAAGCUGACAUCAUUCUCCCUGAAAUUUCUGAUUUGGGAAAUAAAAAAAUCCAGUAUUUCUUUGUACCAUACACAGAAACAACUGUUACCAUGGGAGAGAGCAGCACAUUUGGCACUGUGCCCACUGAUCAUGCUGAGAUCAUUACCUCCAUAAAAAGUCAAGGUCAUCCCUAUAGGAAAGGCAUUUCAUCCACUGUUGGUAACCCAAUUGCUCCAGAGUUGGCAGACACCAUCAAAUCAGAAAAAUCAAAAGUCAAUGAAAAUAAACUGGACUUAGCUGAAAUGAUGCCUUCACAGGAUCACAUGCACCUCUUGGCUCAGGAUAUUGCCUCUCAAGCUAAGAAUAUCUCCUAUGUCAGUGAAGUUACUAAAGGUAUCAUCAAAAAAGAUUCAAUAUCUUCUCUUAAUCCUGUUAGUGCCACCAAAAUACCAACAAAUGUUACCAUCAUUUCACCUAACGCCCCCACCUUUGACUCUAAGGAGAGCAAUAAACAUGGUAACUCUACCCUGUCUGAAAUAAAUGAUGUCCGGUCCAUAAAAUUAAAAUAUCUACUUAUUCCUAAUCAGAAAAAAACUAGAAUUACAGAUGCUCUUAGUCAAAAUGAUGAUUCUUUAUCUGAUAAAUCAGUGGACUUAGAGCUACUAGGUGAACAUUCUAUUAUCACUGACCAAAACAGGGAAGUCACCAAGGUGCAAAGUAACCCUCAGCUUUUCUCCAUGGUCUCCUCUGUUCCUCUGGAAGAUCCUACUACUUUUUCAGAGAACCCUAUAAAUGUAGCCACUGGCAUACCUACCACUGAAAAUGGAGGCAUUUAUGAUAAAACUGGCACCAUGGCCAUUGCACCUAAAACGGUUUUUCAACCCACAAUUCACAAAAAAGAGCAGAUAAAUAAAAGUUCUGACCAAGAUGUAAACCACCAUAUAAAUAAAGCAGUUAUCAAUCCAUCUGCUAAAGAAAUCAUUGCCUCAGGAACUGGGACGAAUGCAUUCUUCGGUAAAGAUAAGGCUAUCCUAGAGGAUGAAUCCUAUAAUUCUGAUGCCCAAAUUCCAGUAAUCUUAAAAGAGGUAAAUUCAGUGAACAUUAGUCCUUUCAUUCUUAAGCCUUAUGUUGCUUCUGCUGAACACAAAGUACCCAGAACUUUAAAAGAAACAUUUUACCCUGAUUUCACAAUGAGCACAGCAAAGCUAAGAAAGGCCAAGGCUGAGGGCUCAUUUCCUCUUGGUAAUGAUAACUUAAAGAAGUCUGUCACAAACUCUAAUAAUAAAUCAUAUCCACCUGUGAAACCAACUCUUCCUCCUACUGGUUCUGUUGAUGAUAAUUAUGAAUUUGAUCUAGCGCUUGUUGCAGGAGAGAGCAACAUAAAAAUGACUGAUGAGUCUAUUAUAGCUAGAGAUAUCAUUGUUCUACCUGACAAAGAAAUAAUUUCACCUGACAAUAUUAUCUUUAUUGAUGACAUAAAGAACAUUAUAAAUGGAAAAAGGCAUGUAAACUCUAUAGAAAGUGAUAAUGCUGCUCAAUAUGAAGUAAUCCCUUUUACAAAGGACUUUUCAAUAGAGUCAGAUGUGGUUUUUCUGGAGGACGAAAACAAUCCAAAUGAUAUAAAUCUAAUGACCACUGGGCUUGAUGGCAAUACUUUUAACUAUGUAUCAGAGAAAAAUAGCUUUUAUGUUGGAGAAAAAGGAAAGAGCCUCACAACAAAAACAUCUCCCUCUGUUCAAGGACUCCAUGGAUAUGGAUCUCAUGAUCCUUUCCCCACUGUACAUGUCCCUGAGGGUCUCCCGAAUGAAAAUCCUGUAGAACCCAAAACUAAACAAAAAUACCAAAUGUUGAUCUCCAGAAAAGGAAACCCUGAUUCUGACAAAGAUAGAACCUUUCUCAAAGAUUAUGUUGCCAAAUUCAAAAGCAAGUCGCCUACAACCAUGAAUUACUUACCUACAGAUGGAAACAGUAAAAUCUCCAAGUUUCCUGAUGAUUUAUCUCUGGAAAAGGACACUCUAAAUGGAAAUGACAUUAUCAUCACUCUUCCAGAAGGCAAAUGGAUUGAGCAUAUCAAUGCUCCAGACCCAGAAUCAACAGAAACUAUGGGAGAAAGUAAGACAUUCCCAGAUGAAAUCAUUGAUCUCACCGUGAGCACAACUCCAAUAACAAGCAAAGGCCAGCUCUCCAGGGGAUAUGUCACAUUCACUACUCUUUCCUACCAAAGGGAACCUGAGAUGUCACCCAAAUCAGAAUAUAAUCAAAAUAAACAUUUGAAGACAGAGAACUAUAAUUCACAGAAUGCCACUGUUCCUUCAACUACAUUCAAUGUCAGCCUUAAUAAUAAUGAACUUCCCUUUGUUGAUAAAAAUUCUGGGAAUAAAAAUAAUAGAGCUUCAAUAUCCUCUUCACCAAUGAGGACAACUCACACCGUUGGCGAUACCACUGCUCUUUCACUUGAGAACAGUUAUGAAGGGGGUGAUUCUAUGCAACCUGAUGAAAAUAAUGAUAGGCCUAAAGAACUUCCAUCUCUACUAACAUCUGAAAGCAUCGUUCUUAUGCCUAAAGUCUUGGCCAAUGAUUCUGUUCUAAUGAGUGGUAACUCCUUGACUGACCCCUCAAAGUCAGUAGUAGUAGCAUCAGAGACAGGGAUUGAACACCUUGACUUCAUUCAUGGAAGUGAUAUUUCAGAAAAUCAGGACAUUAAAAUUCAAACAGAUUUUCAGCCCUAUCUCUUGGAUUCAAAUAUUCCUUCUAAUGAUUCAGGAAUUUUUACAAGGAAUUCCACAGAUGAUGAGGCUGAUUCAGCACUUCCUGUGGAAAGAGAAACUGUUAACAUUUCUGAAGUUAAAACAGAUGUUCAACCUCGGAGUACAAUGAUGAGAGUGGUUUUGCCUAGAGAAAUAAGCCCCUUCUCUUCUGAAAUUAAAAAAAUGGUUGGGCUCCCUAGUAAGGAAGACACAGCUGCUAAAUUUGAUUUAAAUCACAUUACAAAUUUCAUUCCAACUUUGGAAAAAACACUUCCUUCAGUCUUUGAGCCCAAUGCUCUCUCUAAGACCAAUAACAAAGAGGACAAACACAAUAUUUCUGAAGCAGGCAAUUUUGUUUCAGGAGAUUCAAGGACAUUGAAAGAUAAUCCUUUCUUUAGUAAAUUUAAUAUUUUUGCUACACCUCAAGCUCCUCCCAAUACAAAAAGAAUCCUUUCAAUUGAUUCCACCAUGUCUCCGGUAAAGACUUUGAAGCCUAAGUAUAAAAACUCCUCUCCUCCUGAAGAAGAUGCAGACAUAGCAGGUUUGCUUCAGAAUGUUCCCACUGGAUCCGAUGUGCCACUAUGGAAAUCAAUUCUUUCUCCUAAUUAUACAAUGUCUGUGAGUUUACCUAAAUAUUCUGAACUUCAUCCAGUUGUUAAAAUAAAUGAAGAUACAACAACAAACACUUAUAAUAAUACUCCAUUUGAGGAAAGAAGUACUCCAUCCUACAAAGCCAUCAUUUCACCUAGUACCAAUACUUCAACAAAAGGCAUGGUCAACACUAUUUUUAAUAAAAGAUUUCAGAUAAUCACUGAAUAUGAAAUAGUUCCUAUUACAGAAAACAUUUCAGACAUUACUUUAGAUGGUGAAAACAUUUCAAAUACUGAGGGUGUGAUAAGCACUGUGCCUAAUGACACAACCCUUGAGUAUGCCACAAAUAUGUAUGUACUAGAACCAAAGGAAGAAAAAUACAAUCCUAUUAUUAAAAAAACUACUCUUGUUUAUGAUCCCCAAAUACUUAGGUCUCAUCAAUUCUACUCCAGUGGUGAUGCCUCGGAACAUUUAUCUCGAGGAGCCCCAACUGAGAUUAAACCUAGAGAAAUACUGCAAAAUUUGGUAUCUAGAGAGGAACAUACCAGCUCUGAUCUUGAUGCUAUUGUUCUCAAAAGUUCCACUGACAAUUCAAAUUCUCAGGCUCCCAGAUCUGUGACUCACCCCCCAACUCACACAAGUGAGAGUAUUCACGAGUUUCUAGGCAAAACAACCUUGAAAAGGGACACUUUACAAGGAGAUGACACCACCAUUUCCCCUAAAGACAAGAUAAUGGAAUACACCCUUGUUCCAGACCCAGAAAUAACAGCAACCAUGGUAGAGGGAAGGAUUUUUCCAGAUGAACCCAUGCACCUCACUGUUACCACCUCUCCAUUAAAAACUAAGAAUCAAUUCUUUAGAAAAGUCAUUUCACCUGCCAUAUAUAACACUGAUGUCCAAGGUAAAGCAGACAACAUCUUAUCGUCCCAAGCAGACACUGUUAAAGGUAAAACUAAUAUGACAGAGGUGCAACUCUCAAUGGAUGGCAUUAUUCCUUUGGCUGAGUUCAAUGUCAUCCCUAAGGACAAACUUUCUUUCACCAAUGAAGAUACUGAAAUUUUAAACAAAAGGACUUCAGUCUCUUCUUUACCUAUGAAUACAGUCAACCAUGUGGAUGAAACCACUACUCCUUCCACUGAGAGUAGUUAUGAAAGAGGUGAUUCUCUGCUGCCAGAAGACAAUAUUAGGUCCAGGGGAUUCCUACUUCUACAAACCCAAGAAAAGGCCAUGUUCACUCCUAAUGUGUCAACUGAAAAUCCUGAAAUCUCUGAUCCAGUGACAAAUACCUCCUUGGCUAAUUCUUCAAUUUUAUUAUCAAACACACUUAAGACAAUUAUUGAAUACCCUAAUUCUAUUAAUGAUGGUCAUAGUCCCAAUAAAAAUAAAACUGACCUCAGGCAGUACUCCAAGAGCUCAACAAAACUUCCCAUUGGUUCCACUAUUUUUUCAGACAAUUCCACAAAUAAUGAGUUUUAUUCACUGUCUUCAGUAAAUAGAGAAACUACUGAUGGCUCUAAAACUAAGACAGAUAAAAUACAUUCUGAACCUCAAAGAACAAUCAUGAAAGCCUUUUCUCCUACAAAAGUCUCUCAACAUAAGGUCCCUGAAGAAAGAAAAAUAGCUAAUUUCUCUGAUCAAGAAGCUCUAGCUGCUAAAUAUGAUUUAAGUCACAUUCCAAAUGCAACCAAUCUCAGAAAUGCAACCAUUCUCAAUUCAGCUAUGAAGAAAAUCUUUCCCUCAGUAACUGAGCUUACUACUCUGUCCAAGAGUGACAACAAUGUGGAAGAGGAAGUACACAUUUCUAAACCAGGUAAUUUUUUCCCAAAAGAUGCAAGUACAUUGAGAGAUAAUUUUUUCACUGCUAAAUUUGAUGCUACCUCUACUAAACCUCAAGCACCCCCCAAAUUAAAAGGAAUAUUUUCAGCUGGUUCCACAUUAACUCUUCCAGAAGCUUCUAGGUCUAAUUAUCAAAGUUCUUCUGAAGAUGCUACUGGAGAAAGGACCAUCACAAAUACUCCCAUUGGGACAUAUGGCCUAUCACCAUGGAAACCAACUCUUCCUUCUGAUUUCACAACAUCCGUGAGUUUAUCUGAGUAUUCUGAACUUGAUCCGGGUAUCAAAAUGAAAAAAGACACUACAACAAAGACUAAUAAUAAUAUUCUACCUGGGGAAAGAUAUAGUCCAUAUGACAAAACUAUUUCUUCACUUCGUAUCAUUCUUUCAAAAAAAGGCAUGAAAAACCCUAUGAAUACCAUUAAUAACAAUAAAUUUGGAGAUAAGAUUUUUAUAGGAAAAGAUAUAUCCACUGAAGUAGUUCUUUUUACAGAAUACAUUUCAGAAAAGGCACAGGACACCCUUUUGGCAGGGGAAAAUAUUCCAAAUGAUGAGGAUAUAGUAACUAUUAUACCUGUUGACAGUGCCCUUGAUUAUGUUGCAGAUAACUAUGUCUUUGAACUAGUGAGGGAAAGAAAUGGUGCCCUAACAAGCAAGACCACACUCAGUAAUGACUACAAUGUACUUGAGUCUCUUUCACCCCAUGCCAGUGCUGCAGUAUCUGAACAUGCAUCCCAAGGAUCUCCAAUUGAUAUCAAAACUACCAAAAAACACCAGAGCUUUAUUCCCAAAGACAAAAAUCUUAAUUCUGAUGCUGCUGCUACUGCUCUCAAAAGUUCUUCUGUCAAUUUUAAUAGUCAAGCUACCAGAUCCAUGAUUUAUUCUCUAACUGAUUCAAGGUGGAUUUUUUCACCUGAAUUUCCAGGUGAAACAGUUGUGGAAAACAGUUCUCAAAUUAGUGAUAGCACCACCAUCAUUCUCCCUAAAGGUGAAAGAAUGGAGUACUCAUUUGUUCCAGACCCAGAAUUAAUGAUAAGAACAGGAGAGAGAAAGACUCUCACAACUGAUUCCAUCAAUCCUGCUGGGAUCACCCAUCUUACAGAAUUUAAGGACCAAUUCAACAGGAAAGGUAUCUCAUUUGCUUUUUAUAAUAAUGAUACCCCAAAUGAAGCAAAACCCACCAUAUCAGCCAUAUUGAAUGCAAAUAAGCAUAAACCAAACUUGGCAGAUAUGCCCCAUUCACAGAACAAUAUUACUCCUUUGGCUAAGUUUAAUGUCAUUCCUGAUGAUGAUCUUCCCUUCAUUGGUAAAAAUACUGAAAAAGCAAACAACAGAGCUUCACUCUUUUCUUCAUCUAUGGAUAAGGCAGCCAGCACUGUGGCUGAUUCCAUUGUUCUUUCCACUGAAGGUAGUUAUGAAGGAGGUGAUUCUACAUUACCUGGAGAAGAUGUUAAAUCUAGAGGGUUCUCAUCUCUAUUAACAACUGCGAUGGUUAUUCCUAACUCCUUGCCUGAAAAUCCUGAAACCUCUGGCCUAAUAACAGAUCAAUUCUUAUCUGAAUCUGUAAUAAAUAGGUCAGAAAUGUUACAAAGAGCAAUUGAAAAUGUUGAUGUCAUUAAUGGAGGUGAUAUUCUAGAGAGACAGGUAAUAAGUCAAGCUGACAUUCAUUCCUAUCCGUUGGCUCAGAAUAUUUCUCCAACUGGAUCGAUUACUUCUUCAGGUAGUAACACAGAUGGUGAAGUUGAUUCAUUUUUCUCUCUGAAUAGAGAUACUCCUAAGAAUUAUAAAACUAAGACUGACAAAAUACAUUUCAAAUCUCAAAGAGCAAUGAUGAAAGCCUUAUCCCUUAGAGAAGAGUCUCAAGAUAGUGUCUAUGAAAGAAGGAAAAUGGCUAAUCUUAUAGAUCAAAAAAAUCCAGCUGCUAAACUGGAACUACAUAAUUUUACAAAAACAACAGUUUUCAUACCAGCUAUGAGGAAAAUCCUUCCAUCGGGAACUGAACCCAAUCCCCUCUCCAAGAGUAACAGCAAUAAGGAAGAUUCUUUCACUGUUAAAUUUAAUGCUACUUCUUUUGAACCUCAAACACCUCCCAAUUUAAAAGGAAUCUUUUUAGCUGAUUCCACAUUAACUCUUCCAGAAGAUGUUAGGCAUACCUCUCAUGAUAAAGUCACUAACACAGGAGGUUCCAUCAUGAAUACCCCAACUAGACUACACGGUCUACGAUGGAGGUCAACUUUUCCUCCUUCUGAUUUCACAACAUCCAUGGGGACUUCCAAAUAUUCUGAACUUGUUCCUGUUACUAAUAUGGGAAAAGAUAUGACCAAAAAGACUGAUUAUAACAUUCCACAUGAGAAAAUAAUUAUUCCAUCUGAUAAAGGUAUCAUCUCGCCUAUUAUUACCUCUGAAAAAGACAUGGCGAGUACUUUACAAGGGAGUAUAUCUGAGCAUAAAGAUCUUCCAAAGAGAGGGAUGGCAGCUGAAUAUGGAAUCAUUUACUUUCCAGAAGACAUUUCAGAAUGGGUGGAUGACAUUUCUUCUGAAGGCAAAAUCACUCCAGUAUAUAUGGACCAUACAACUAUUAUGUCUGAUGACAGUGGUUCUGAAUAUAUCUCAGAUAUACAUGCCUUCAAAUCAGAAGACAGAGCAAAUAAUUCCCUGACAAAAAUGGGUACACUCAUGUAUGUCCCCAAGACACAUAUGUCUUAUGCACCAUAUACCACAGUUGCUGCUUCAAACAGUCUAUCUAAGACAGUAUCUCCAGUGUUCGAAGCUAAAGAAAAUUACCAAGCUAUAAUUCCUAAACAGGAAAAUAGCAUUGACACUAAUGCUAUUGCUCUCAAGAAUUCCAAUGCUAAUGUCAAUACCAAAACUCACAGACCUACAACUCACUUCCUAACUGAUAAAAGUAUAAAGUUUCCUUCUAGUUUUUCCAACAAAACACCUGCAGGAAAAAGCACCAUAAAUGGUAAUGAUGACACUGUAAUUCCCUCUAAUGGCUUUGACUCAGAAAAUAAAAUAACAGAGUAUUAUUCCCUUUCUCCAGAAGUAAAACCUGUAAUUGACAGCAAGACAUUCACAACUGAUACCACUAAUCUUGCUUUUGAAAAUACUGGUAAUUUUCUUAGGAGAACCAUUUCACCUACCAUUCAUAAGACAUUUACACUCAAGAGAGCAGACACUACCACAUCUAGUUUAUCUGAUUUCACUGAAGAUCAAACAGGUAUAGCUACAGUAUCUGGUUCAAGGUUUAGUAAUUUUCCUUUAGUUCGGCUUUCCAGUGAUGACCUCUCCAAUGUGAAAGAAAACAAAGGAGGUGGAACCAACACAGUUCUUACUUUCUUUUACCCUUUGAAGAAGAUGUCUGCCAGCAGGUCAAACGUUCCUGUUAUUUCUACUAAGAACAAAAAUAACAUUGGUCAUUAUAGCCUUCCAUCAUCAGAGAGCAUCAGGUCUCUAAGACUUGCACCUAUGGGACUACCUGAAAUUCUCAUCCUAACUUCUAAAGAUUCUGCUAAAGAAACUGCAGCCUCCAAACUUAUAAAAGGCACAAAUGUAUAUUACCCAACACUGUUAAUAUCAGCAGCAUCAGAGCCUGUGUCUACAGACUUACCUUACUUCAAUAAAGGCAUUGCCUCAGAACGACAAAAUACUAAAAGUCAAAUAGACCCAAAGGCUUUCCCUUUGGUCUAUACUGUUCUCCAAGCUGAUUCCACAGGUUCUUCAGACAAUAUGGCUAAUGCCGAAUCUAACACAUCUGCUAGUAUUGUCACCAAGAGCAAAAUUUUUGAUAUUGAUGCCUUUGGUGAUCAACAUUCAGAACCCAAGAAAACAACCAUCAAGUUUUCUCCUCUUUUUCCUAAUGAAUACAGUAAACCAAAUUUCUAUUACACAACGGAAAUAACUAAAGCUUCUGCGAUGAAAGACACAGCUGAAGUGAAUCACCUUAUAGAUGUAAGUAGAGCAACAGGAAAUGAUCCAGUUAUUCAGGUGGAAACAAACUCUCUAAAAGAUGCUAACCUAAAGCCUUAUCUUGUAAAUAAAAAUAUCAUUGAUGAUAAUAAAUCAGGUAAUAAAGAUGAUGACAUUGUCCCUGUUGCAGCUUACUCAAGCCUUCACAAGUCAAAGAAUUCCCUUCCAGAUGGAUCUGUUCCUCAGGAAACUUACUUCACUACCAGGAACUCAAACUUGCUCACAGAAGUGAUCACCAUUAUUCCUACUGAGAGAAAAUCUUUAUCUGACACAGAGAUCAUUCCCAUGGUAGAAGAAAAUUCUUGGUUGGAAUUUAAUUAG
rnacentral:lncRNA from 12 species